rnacentral:rRNA from 1 species
CGAACGCUGGCGGCGCGUUUUAAGCAUGCAAGUCGAACGGUAAUAGAGUGCUUGCACUCUAUGAGAGUGGCGAACGGGUGAGUAACACGUAGAUGAUCUAUCCUUGGGACCGGGAUAGCCUGUGGAAACACAGGGUAAUACCGGAUACGACCUUAGCGGUGAAGUGCUAAGGGGAAAGUCGCUUCGGCGACGUCCAUGGCUGAGUCUGCGGCUCAUUAGCUUGUUGGUAGGGUAAUGGCCUACCAAGGCGACGAUGAGUAGCCGGCCUGAGAGGGUGAUCGGCCACACUGGGACUGAGACACGGCCCAGACUCCUACGGGAGGCAGCAGCUAAGAAUCUUCCGCAAUGGGGGCAACCCUGACGGAGCGACGCCGCGUGAAUGAAGAAGGCCGGAAGGUUGUAAAGUUCUUUUCCUGGGGGAGAAUAAUGAUUGGAGGUAAUGCCAGUCAGAUGACGUGAACCAGGGAAUAAGCCCCGGCUAAUUAC